UACGGCUCAGUAACACGUGGAUAAUCUGCCCUCAGGUGGGGGAUAACCCCGGGAAACUGGGUAUAAUACCCCAUAGACACGGGAGGCUGGAAUGCACCUGUGUUGAAAGCUCCGGCGCCUGAGGAUGAGUCUGCGGCCUAUCAGGUUGUAGUCAGGGUAAGGACCUGACUAGCCCGUGACGGGUACGGGGUGUGGAAGCACUCGCCCGGAGAUGGACUCUGAGACACGAGUCCAGGCCCUACGGGGCGCAGCAGGCGCGAAAACUUCGCAAUGCGGGAAACCGUGACGAGGGAACUCCAAGUGCCUAUGCAAUGCAUAGGCUGUUUCCCAGCCUAAAGAGCUGGGAGAGUAAGGGGUGGGAAAGACCGGUGCCAGCCGCCGCGGUAAUACCGGCACCUCUAGUGGUAGCCCUUAUUAUUGGGCCUAAAACGUCCGUAGCCUGUUCAGUAAAUUCCUGGGUAAAUCGUAUCGCUCAACGGUGCGACUUCCGGGGACACUGCUGAACUUGGGACCGGGGGAGGUCAGAGGUACUUGCGGGGGAGCGGUGAAAUGUUAUAAUCCCGCAGGGACCACCAGUGGCGAAGGCGUCUGACUAGAACGGCUCCGACGGUGAGGGACGAAACCCUGGGGCGCAAACGGGAUUAGAUACCCCGGUAGUCCAGGGCGUAAACGCUGCAGACUUGGUGUUGGGGGCUCUGCGAGGGUGCCCAGUGCCGGAGCGAAGGUGUUAAGUCUGCUGCCUGGGGAGUACGGUCGCAAGACUGAAACUUAAAGGAAUUGGCGG
rnacentral:rRNA from 1 species